rnacentral:rRNA from 1 species
CGGACGGGUGAGUAACGCGUGAGAAUCUGCCUUCAGGUCGGGGAUAACAGCUGGAAACGGCUGCUAAUACCGGAUGAGCCGAGAGGUAAAAGCAAAAGUGCCUGAAGAUGAGCUCGCGUCUGAUUAGCUAGUUGGUGGGGUAAGAGCCUACCAAGGCGACGAUCAGUAGCUGGUCUGAGAGGAUGAUCAGCCACACUGGGACUGAGACACGGCCCAGACUCCUACGGGAGGCAGCAGUGGGGAAUUUUCCGCAAUGGGCGCAAGCCUGACGGAGCAAUACCGCGUGAGGGAGGAAGGCCCUUGGGUUGUAAACCUCUUUUGUCAGGGAAGAAGGUCUGACGGUACCUGACGAAUCAGCAUCGGCUAACUCCGUGCCAGCAGCCGCGGUAAUACGGAGGAUGCAAGCGUUAUCCGGAUUUAUUGGGCGUAAAGGGUCCGCAGGUGGUUAUUCAAGUCUGCUGUCAAAGCGCGGAGCUUAACUCCGUACAGGCGGUGGAAACUGAGGAACUAGAGUCUGGUAGGGGUCGCGGGAAUUCCCAGUGUAGCGGUGAAAUGCGUAGAUAUUGGGAAGAACACCGGCGGCGAAAGCGCGCGACUGGACCGGAACUGACACUGAGGGACGAAAGCCAGGGGAGCGAAAGGGAUUAGAUACCCCUGUAGUC